rnacentral:lncRNA from 12 species
CUUUGGGGUUGUUUUGGCGGUUUUGGGAUUUUUUUGGGGAAAUAUUUUGGGGAUAUUUUGGAAUAUUUGGGGUUUAUUUUGGAUUCCCUGCACAGGAGGACGAGGAGGGGGCGGGGCCAAGGCCAGACGCCCGAGUCAGCAAAAAGGAGAAGAAGAAAAUGAAGAAACAGGUGAGGGGGCGGGGCUUAGGUCUGGGGGGCGUGGCAUUGAGGCCAUGGGCGUGGCUUGACCCAAGAGCAUUGCCAUAUAUGGGCGUGUCCCAUGGUGGGUGUGGCCCAUAUAUGGGUAUAUCCUGUAUGUGGGCGUGUCCUUGCCCUGGGUGUGUCCCUGUCAAUGGCAUGUCCCAUAUAUGGGCGUGGCCCCGCCCUGGGCGUGUCCCUGUCAAUGGUAUAUCCCAUAUAUGGGCGUGUCCCCGCCUUGGGCGUGUCCCUGUCAAUGCUAUAUCCCAUAUAUGGGCGUGUCCCUGUCAAUGGUAUAUCCCAUAUAUGGGCGUGUCCCCGCCUUGGGCGUGUCCCUGUCAAUGCUAUAUCCCAUAUAUGGGCGUGUCCCUGUCAAUGGUAUAUCCCAUAUAUGGGCGUGUCCCCGCCUUGGGCGUGUCCCUGUCAAUGCUAUAUCCCAUAUAUGGGCGUGUCCCUGUCAAUGGUAUAUCCCAUAUAUGGGCGUGUCCCCGCCUUGGGCGUGUCCCUGUCAAUGCUAUAUCCCAUAUAUGGGCGUGUCCCUGUCAAUGGUAUAUCCCAUAUAUGGGCGUGUCCCCGCCUUGGGCGUGUCCCUGUCAAUGCUAUAUCCCAUAUAUGGGCGUGUCCCUGUCAAUGGUAUAUCCCAUAUAUGGGCGUGUCCCCGCCUUGGGCGUGUCCCUGUCAAUGCUAUAUCCCAUAUAUGGGCGUGUCCCUGUCAAUGGUAUAUCCCAUAUAUGGGCGUGUCCCCGCCUUGGGCGUGUCCCUGUCAAUGCUAUAUCCCAUAUAUGGGCGUGUCCCUGUCAAUGGUAUAUCCCAUAUAUGGGCGUGUCCCCGCCUUGGGCGUGUCCCUGUCAAUGCUAUAUCCCAUAUAUGGGCGUGUCCCUGUCAAUGGUAUAUCCCAUAUAUGGGCGUGUCCCCGCCCUGGGCGUGUCCCUGUCAAUGGUAUAAUCCAUAUAUGGGCGUGUCCUUGUCAAUGGUAUAAUCCAUAUAUGGGCGUGUCCUUGUCAAUGGUAUAUCCCAUAUAUGGGCGUGUCCCCCCCCCCCCCCCCCC